UGGGGAAUAUUGCACAAUGGGCGCAAGCCUGAUGCAGCCAUGCCGCGUGUGUGAAGAAGGCCUUCGGGUUGUAAAGCACUUUCAGCGAGGAGGAAGGUGGUGAACUUAAUACGUUCGUCAAUUGACGUUACUCGCAGAAGAAGCACCGGCUAACUCCGUGCCAGCAGCCGCGGUAAUACGGAGGGUGCAAGCGUUAAUCGGAAUUACUGGGCGUAAAGCGCACGCAGGCGGUUUGUUAAGUCAGAUGUGAAAUCCCCGGGCUCAACCUGGGAACUGCAUUUGAAACUGGCAAGCUAGAGUCUCGUAGAGGGGGGUAGAAUUCCAGGUGUAGCGGUGAAAUGCGUAGAGAUCUGGAGGAAUACCGGUGGCGAAGGCGGCCCCCUGGACGAAGACUGACGCUCAGGCGCGAAAGCGUGGGGCAGCAAACAGGAUUAGAUACCCCGGUAGUCCACGCUGUAAACGAUGUCGAUUUUGGAGGUUGUGCCCUUGAGGCGUGGCUUCCGGAGCUAACGCGUUAAAUCGACCGCCUGGGGAGUACGGCCGCAAGGUUAAAACGUCAAAUGAAUUGACGGGGUCAUAGCU
rnacentral:rRNA from 1 species